AAGACAUUGUGUCUUCGAGUCGUUGAUUUCACACUGCCGAGAAAAGCCUCUAGAUAGAAAAUAGGUGCCCGUACCGCAAACCGACACAGGUAGUCAAGAUGAGAAUUCUAAGGUGAGCGAGCGAACUCUCGUUAAGGAACUCGGCAAAAUGACCCCGUAACUUCGGGAGAAGGGGUGCUCUUUAGGGUUAACGCCCAGAAGAGCCGCAGUGAAUAGGCCCAAGCGACUGUUUAUCAAAAACACAGGUCUCUGCUAAACCGUAAGGUGAUGUAUAGGGGCUGACGCCUGCCCGGUGCUGGAAGGUUAAGAGGAGUGGUUAGCUUCUGCGAAGCUACGAAUCGAAGCCCCAGUAAACGGCGGCCGUAACUAUAACGGUCCUAAGGUAGCGAAAUUCCUUGUCGGGUAAGUUCCGACCCGCACGAAAGGCGUAACGAUUUGGGCACUGUCUCAACGAGAGACUCGGUGAAAUCAUAGUACCUGUGAAGAUGCAGGUUACCCGCGACAGGACGGAAAGACCCCGUGGAGCUUUACUGUAGCCUGAUAUUGAAAUUCGGCACAGCUUGUACAGGAUAGGUAGGAGCCUUUGAAACGUGAGCGCUAGCUUACGUGGAGGCGCUGGUGGGAUACUACCCUAGCUGUGUUGGCUUUCUAACCCGCACCACUUAUCGUGGUGGGAGACAGUGUCAGGCGGGCAGUUUGACUGGGGCGGUCGCCUCCUAAAAGGUAACGGAGGCGCUCAAAGGUUCCCUCAGAAUGGUUGGAAAUCAUUCAUAGAGUGUAAAGGCAUAAGGGAGCUUGACUGCGAGACCUACAAGUCGAGCAGGGUCGAAAGACGGACUUAGUGAUCCGGUGGUUCCGCAUGGAAGGGCCAUCGCUCAACGGAUAAAAGCUACCCCGGGGAUAACAGGCUUAUCUCCCCCAAGAGUUCACAUCGACGGGGAGGUUUGGCACCUCGAUGUCGGCUCAUCGCAUCCUGGGGCUGUAGUCGGUCCCAAGGGUUGGGCUGUUCGCCCAUUAAAGCGGUACGCGAGCUGGGUUCAGAACGUCGUGAGACAGUU
rnacentral:rRNA from 1 species